AUCUUUGCGCUCGGGGCAAUGACGCAAUUAGUGAGGUGAAACCGAGACGCGUCAAUUGCUGGUUGAAAACUAUUUCCAUUUUUAUAUGUGUGUUUAAGCCUUUGACCUAGUCCCUAGAUGAACCACGUUACAUCCAUCUUGUUUUAACCUUCUUUGAUUUAUUGUUGAUACUGUCACCUCACUUGUGAUUUUUUAUUUUACUUCAUGAAGA
rnacentral:snRNA from 1 species